rnacentral:lncRNA from 1 species
GGGUGGCUGGCAGGCCCCUGCAAGUUUACUUCGCCUGUUUCCCUUGAAUAAUUAUAAAUUUAAGCUCUAAAAUUAAUAAACUCUAGUUUUUAGCCCUUCUAAAAGUUUUUUCUUAUAAUUUGCCCCCCAAUCCUAAUGCCCUAGCUUCGCUGCCGGCUACGAGAGAGGUUUCGUCGAGGCACUCCUUGACACAGUAACUUUCAGUGUCUGGGCUCAGUACAUGAAGGGCUCAAAAAGACACCACCAUGAUCUUGAUGCUGUAGCUUGAGUAAGGAAAUGGUAAUAGAUACAGAUUGCAGCCAUGGUCCACAAGUCAAAUUAUAGGCCGGUGAUUUCAUCAUUUUACUCGCAUGUUCUUGCUCAGUAGCUGGAGUAAGGAAAUGGUAAUAGAUACAGUGAACUUUGUCAUUGUCUUCAUUUAUUGUUUGACAAAUCUCAAGUUUACUGUAAUUUGCUGCUUAUUCAACGUGCAGUUCUUGUAAUUUGCUUCUUUUUCUUCUUUUUUUUUUUCUUUUCUGCUCUCAGAGUCAUAGAUAUCUGGCCUUGGAUUCUCAAUAAUUUAACUCCUGCCAGCUCUGUGUUCCUUCUGCGGCUGUUUACAAUAAUAGUA